rnacentral:rRNA from 1 species
AUGACUAGGGAUAACCUUAGGAAGAGACACAUCAUCAAACCCCUUGAUUGUGUUUACUGCUUGGAACAAGAGUCUUGUUCUCACCUAUUUUUUGAAUGUAUAGUUGCUAAACAUCUCUGGGCCCACAUUGAGGAAUAUUUCUCUAGUCAGAUUGGCUCAUCCUUCGAAUCUGUCUCCAGAUUCUGGAUUGCUACCAAAAAGUGCUCAGUUUUAAACACGGUUAGCUCAGCUGUCCUUUGGUGCCUCUGGAAAUAUAGAAAUGCUAUGAUUUUCAGUAACACCUCCUGGAUUUCCAUUCCGCAGGUCUUGAGGUUGAUCACGAACAUGGUGAGGAACUGGGCGAUUCUCUCCUCCGGAUCGGACAAGGACAAGUUGAUGAGCUUCAUGGAAACCCUAACAAGAUCCCUCCAGAAACCAUUGGCGAUCACUUGUGGCUGA